GGCUCAAUGGUCUAGUAGUAUGAUUCGCCGUUCGGGCUGGAUAUUUCCGAAGAUCGGCGAGGUCCCGGGUUCAAUUCCCGGUUGAGCCC
rnacentral:tRNA from 1 species